GGGGGUGUAGCUCAGUGGUAGAGCAUUUGACUGCAGAUCAAGAGGUCCCUUGUUCAAAUCGAGGCACCCCCU